UUGGAAAGCGGGGGUAUAUCUGGCGAUGUGCUGGUUGGCAGGGGCACCCGCGAAGGCCCCAAGGGUUUUCCGGCUGCGCAUGCACUCCAACGCAGGACUGUGCAUGUGUGGUAUUAACGCAGUAUUAACGCCGCGCAGUACGCGGGGCGGUCUGUUAUUAAAGUAUAGAACGACAUACGGCACUGCAAGCUCGCGGCAGUGCGAUGCAGUCUUGUACAUGCCCCCUCUGAGCUCUGACCCGAGCAAUACCUGUGUAGUUCCUGUCAGAACGCUGGAGCCGCUCGGACUUUCG
rnacentral:lncRNA from 1 species